CAUUAUACAUUGACUCGCUGAUGACACCAUCAGGGCUCAGGUAGAGGCAUUUUCAAUCCGCUCCAAAUCUCUCCCCCCUUCUAGGAUGCUUCCAAGACCCCAUCCAGCGGGCACAGGCAGGGAGAGACGUUGCUAGGGAAAAGGGAUCAUUGCCAAGUUCUGGCCCACAGCAGCAUAUGCUUCACGGUGACAAUGUAAUCCCCAUGCGCCAAGCCAAGAGAUCUUGUGUGGUGACCUGGGUGUUUCUCCACGGCUCUUUGUGAGACAACAGCCAUCAAGGCUCUGUAUCCUAGAGAAGCUGGUCUAAGACACAUCUAGGCAGACUGCCUUCUCACUAUGGAAGGUGGAGCUUCCUACAGGCUGAACUUGGAAGUGAGGAUCUACAGCUGGAUGUAAGAAAUCUCGUGAGUGGUUAGUGGCCAUGCUGUCUGCCACCUAAAUAAGGUCAGCCUGUGGCACGAAAGAAGAAUUCUGCCAACACGCCGAGAGAAACCGAGGCAGGAGCUACUGAAAGAGACUUGCUGGGUGUCCCAGGCAUGGCUCCUGAGUUCCUUAAGCUCAGCUGCUCUUUUACCCUCCUUGGGGUUUACUUGGUCUAGGUGCUUAUCUACUACCUCCCAUUAAACGCCCCCUGUUACCCAAUGCCAUCCUAAUGGCGUCUCUGUCAUGGGCCACCAAAGGAAGCCCAGUGAGCACAGUGUAUUCCCACUGACGAGAGUGGAAUGUAGAAGUGGGAAGAGGCUGGGUUUGGGAGGCCUACAGGCCUGGGCAUGAGCCCUGAACUCCAUGGCAAGGAGUUUAACCUCUCUGUGCCUCAGUUUCCAGAUCUAAGAAAUCAGGAGAACACCACCAUCUUUCAAGGCUUGGAGUCUUUGACAUGUUGGAAGUUCCAGAUUUCUGUAACACAGUGGGAUCAAAGCCUUGAAGCUCUUCUGCGUACGUCACCGUCAUGAGCCGAGGAGAGACCUUUGAAAAAGACAACAGAUAGCUCCCUUUCACACACACCAUGUUAGCACAGUACUUGGUGUCCACACGCCAUGAUCAUAAGGCCAGAAUCAUCUCGAAGAUUGAAGAUGGCAAGUUCUUUGACACACUGCCCAUCCAGAGGCGAAGUCUACGUCCCAUCCCCUUGAAUCUGAGUGGGCUCUAUUUCCACUCUGAAAGAAUAUGGCAGAAGUGACACUGUGCCGGUUCCCAAAGCCAGGCCUUAUGAAGCUGGCAGUUCCCAUCCUCUGUCAUUCGGAACACUGUCUCUGGGAGCAUUGGACUUCAAACCCUCAAGCCACCAUGCUGAUGCAGCCCGAUGUAGGUGCUCCAGCUCAGAGUUCCACCUGAGCCCAGCCUUCGAGGCAUCUCUCCAGCCAAGGCCCCGUACGUUGGGUGAAACCAUCUUCUACCCUCCAGGUCAACUCAUCGCUGGUUGAAUCCCACAAGUGACCUUACUCCACACGAUGCCAUAUGGAGCAGAAGAAUCACUCAGCUGAGCCCUGCCCGAGUUCCUAACCCACAAAAUUAUAAAUUAUAAUAAAAUGGUUGUUAUUUUAA